AACUAACGCUGGCGGCGUGCCUAACACAUGCAAGUCGUACGAGAAAGUUUGCUUCGGCAAAUUAGUAAAGUGGCGCACGGGUGAGUAACGCGUGGAUAAUCUGCCCUUCAGCGGGGAAUAACCCAUCGAAAGGUGGGCUAAUACCCCAUAACACUAUUUCUGCCUCGGCAGGAUAGUCAAAGACGGCCUCUGUUUACAAGCUGUCACUGAAGGAUGAGUCCGCGUACCAUUAGCUAGUUGGUAGGGUAAUGGCCUACCAAGGCUGCGAUGGUUAGCUGGUCUGAGAGGAUGAUCAGCCACACUGGAACUGAGACACGGUCCAGACUCCUACGGGAGGCAG
rnacentral:rRNA from 1 species